GUUUUAUUAUCCGGCCUGCCCUUCCGCCGCAUUAGGCCGGAUACUUGGGAGUGUACUGUAGUUAUAUAAUAUGUAUUAUCAUUGUGCAGAUUUUAUGUUUGUAAUGUGUCUCAAUCCAAAUUUAUUAACUUUUCUUUAGCAUUUUGAAGUCCAACACCAUUAGCAUACAGUGCUAGUGUGAUGUUGGACUAAAGGUUGUCAUUAAUUUAUCUUUAGAUAUUAUAUCUAAAGGUAAAUUAAUGACAGCCUUGUCAGUUGAAGCAUAUUCAGAUGAUUUGCAAAUAGAUUGGAACCAAGCAAGAAUCAUUAGGAGGUUGCAUACACCAAACCAAGUCACAAUUUCAGAAAUACUAGAAAUCAUCUCAAGGCAGGAGAUAGAGAACAUUCUAAAUGAAAAACUUGCCCAACAGCUUUCUCCAGCAUGGUUGUAUGCUAUCAAAAAUCUGAUGCCCACUCCACACUAAUUUUACUUUUGAACUGUAUUUUUUUAUUUUUCAAUGCAUUAAUUUUCUUUUAUAUAGUUAAAUACUUUGUUUUAAUAGUUAUUUUUAUAUUGUAACCAUGGC
rnacentral:lncRNA from 1 species